rnacentral:misc_RNA from 1 species
GCUCCGUAGGUGAACCUGCGGAGGGAUCAUUACAGAGUUCAUGCCCUACCGGGUAGAUCUCCCACCCUAUGUUAUUAUUACUUUGUUGCUUUGGCGGGCCGUUAGGCUCCGGCCCGACUACCAGCCCCGGCUGGUAAGCGCCCGCCAGAGGACCCAAAACCCUGAAUAUUAGUGUCGUCUGAGUACUAUAUAAUAGUUAAAACUUUCAACAACGGAUCUCUUGGUUCUG